rnacentral:sRNA from 1 species
CUGUUUCGAUCUGCUGGGGACAAAUAAAGUGAAUAUGACUAUCAACCCCGCCUGCAGUCACGAUAUAGUUCUCUCCGGCAAUCACCUCGGUGCCUGCCCCUAUUGGAAGGUUAACCCCAGCCAUCGUCUUGGGAUUUCCUGCGUGACCAAGACCAUAAAUACGUCCUUCCUUAAUCCCUAUGUCAGCCUUAAUAAUCCCCCAGUGGUCAACAAUCACUGCAUUUGUAAUGACCAAAUCCAUAGCCUCAGCCAAAGCUUGUGGGUCUUGCCCCAUACCAUCGCGCAG